rnacentral:tRNA from 1 species
GUAGUAGUGGUUCAGAGGUAGAAAUCUCACCUUCCAUGUGGGAGACCCAGGUUCGAUUCCUGACCAAUGCA